GUAAUAAAACAUCUCAGUACUGCAGAGCUCUCUCUUAGUAAUAAAACAUCUCAGUACUGCAGAGCUCUCUCUUAGUAAUAAAACAUCUCAGUACUGCAGAGCUCUCUCUUAGUAAUAAAGCAUCUCAGUACUGCAGAGCUCUCUCUUCGUUAU